rnacentral:rRNA from 1 species
GACGAACGCUGGCGGCGUGCCUAAUACAUGCAAGUCGAGCGGACCACUUCGGUGGUCAGCGGCGGACGGGUGAGUAACACGUGGGCAACCUGCCUGUAAGACUGGGAUAACACCGGGAAACCGGUGCUAAUACCGGAUAAUCCUUUCCUUCACAUGAGGGAAAGCUGAAAGACGGUUUCGGCUGUCACUUACAGAUGGGCCUGCGGCGCAUUAGCUAGUUGGUGAGGUAACGGCUCACCAAGGCAACGAUGCGUAGCCGACCUGAGAGGGGGAUCGGCCAAACUGGGACUGAGACACGGCCCAGACUCCUACGGGAGGCAGCAGUAGGGAAUCUUCCGCAAUGGACGAAAGUCUGACGGAGCAACGCCGCGUGAGCGAUGAAGGCCUUCGGGUCGUAAAGCUCUGUUGUCAGGGAAGAACAAGUACCGGAGUAACUGCCGGUACCUUGACGGUACCUGACCAGAAAGCCACGGCUAACUACGUGCCAGCCGCCGCAGUAACAC